rnacentral:rRNA from 1 species
AUUGAACGCUGGCGGCAUGCCUUACACAUGCAAGUCGAACGGCAGCAUGGAGAGCUUGCUCUCUGAUGGCGAGUGGCGAACGGGUGAGUAAUGCAUCGGAACGUACCGUGUAAUGGGGGAUAACGUAGCGAAAGUUACGCUAAUACCGCAUACGACCUGAGGGUGAAAGCAGGGGAUCGCAAGACCUUGCGCUAUACGUGCGGCCGAUGUCAGAUUAGCUAGUUGGUGAGGUAAAGGCUCACCAAGGCGACGAUCUGUAGCGGGUCUGAGAGGAUGAUCCGCCACACUGGGCCUGAGAAACGGCCCAGACGCCUACGGGAGGCAGCAGUGGGGAAUUUUGGACAAUGGGGGCAACCCUGAUCCAGCCAUGCCGCGUGAGUGAAGAAGGCCUCCGGGUUGUAAAGCUCUUUCGGCCGGGAAGAAAUCGCACAGGCUAAUACUCUGUGUGGAUGACGGUACCGGCAUAAGAAGCACCGGCUAACUACGUGCCAGCAGCCGCCGUAA